GGCAGCAGUGGGGAAUCUUAGACAAUGGGGGCAACCCUGAUCUAGCCAUGCCGCGUGAGUGAUGAAGGCCCUAGGGUUGUAAAGCUCUUUCAGCUGGGAAGAUAAUGACGGUACCAGCAGAAGAAGUCUUGGCUAACUCCGUGCCAGCAGCCGCGGUAAUAC
rnacentral:rRNA from 1 species